ACCCUGCCAUAGCAGCCCAUCAGUCCUCUGGGACAGGCAAGCCCAGGAAAGUCAGGGGCCUAUGUGAGCCAAGAGGAGAGAAGGCGAUGCCUCAGCCCAGUGUUUCUGCCCCACCUGGCUUGUGGCCUUGGGGACUUGAUUUACACCGCAGGAAAAUGGGCAAUGAAAGCCCCUCCCUGACUGGCUUCUAAGUCCACUCUGACCAGCCCACUACACAGCGCCCACCCUGCAGCUCCAGAUGAGGCCUCACUCUGUCACCCAGGUUGGGGUGGAGUGGCACAGUCACAGCUCACUGUAACCUCAAACUCCUGGGCUCAAGUGAUCCUGCCACCUCAGCCUCCUAAGUAGCUGAGACUACAGGUGUGCACCGCCAUGCCGGGCUUGUCUAACAUUUUUAUGUGUUGUUUCAUCCAGUUUGCUAGAGUUUUUGGAGAUUUCUGUCUUCAUUCAUGAGGGAUAAUAGUCUGCACAUUUAUUUUCUUGUGAUGCUUUUAUCUGAUUUGUUAUCUGGGUAAUACUGGCCUCAAAAAUGAAUUGAUGUUUUCCUGCUUC